GCUUCCGGCCGGGCGCGCGCAGCUCGCGGCUCUCCUGCUGCGAGGUCGGCGUCGCUGAGAACGCGACGGCGGCGCGCGGCACCCGGUAGGGCUCGGAAAAGGGAUUAACAGUACCAACUCGGCAGCGGGCGUAGUGUCAGCCCCGGGUACGGAGCAUGAAUGCACAGCAAACAACACAUUGAUUGGUGGUGAUGGGCAGUUACUUCUCUCCGUGAGAAGCCGCAAUAUCAUUCUGAGAGAGACGGUGAUGGGCCGAGCUCAACACAGUACCCACGAGGGGGAAAUGUCCGCCAGCUUCAGGCUAGCCGCAGGCCAACUCUUCCACCCUUGUCCCCAGUGCCCGACCACCGCAGCCCUCUAUGCAAAUGCCGUCACUACUACAGGACCAGGUACUAUGAUUCCGUAUGAUCUCGGAGAAAUUCAGAGUGAAUGAAUAUUUAAAAACAUUUUAAAUGCCAGUGGAUUAGAUACUUUGAAGUCGGAAAGUACAAAUGCUAAAAUAAUGGCAUCAACGGUUUGUUAAGGAAGGUGUUGAGAAUGAAGUUGAUAACAAAAUCAAAUGACGUUUGGUAUAGCAAAAGCAUGUGACAGAUGUAUUUGCUAGAAUAGUGUAGCUUUUGCUGAAAGCAGUUUUCUUAAUGGAAAGAAUUUUAUAGCAGAGGCAAAGUGUACAGAUACAAUAACUAAAAGAAGCUUUUGGAAUGUCCCCUUCAGAUGGUAAAAAAAUUAUCUGGAUUGUUUGCACAUUAAUUUUGGAAGUAUUUUUCAAAUAUGUCAAAUAACCAAACAUCUUACUGUGGCAGGAAAACAGGCUUAAAAAUAUAAAAUCUUGCUUUAUCGUCCUUGGUUUUUCUCAACAAUUUCCAAAGAAAACUGGCUUCCCCCACUGGUGUGGGUGCAUCCGACUGAGAUCAGGGAAGAGAAUUAAAAUUGAACGACUUGCUUUUUUCUUUCUUGAUUUUUCUGAACAACUUCCAUGGAAACCUUUGCCUCAUACAGUGGGAUGGGCUCAUCGAGCAGAGGCCUGAGGAGGGAAAUGAUUCGAGAUGUCAGGCACAGGCACAGAGGAGCACAGCACGCAGGAUGCAGUAGACCACACAUUUGCUUAUUUUCCUUUAUCUAACACAAGCAGCUCGAGCCUUUAAUCCCAGCACUGGCGAGGCAGAGGCAGGUGAACCUCUGCAAGUUGCUGGUCAGCCAGCCUGAGCUAGAUAGCUAUCUUAAAAAGAAAAAUCCAAACAGAAAUUACAAAUGCAUUCAUUAAUAUUUCUGUGGCUUAAAGAAGUAGUAAUUUCCCCCCUUUUCUUUCUUUUUUAAAACUGGGUUUGUCUUGUUAGCUAGCCCAGUAUGGCCUCAGACUCAUGACUCUUAGCCUUCCAAGUGCCUUGAAUACAGCUGUGUGCCACAACACUGGGCUAAAAGUGUUUAGGUUUUGAAAGAAAAAAUAUACUACUCAGUCCCUUUAUCUAAUUCUUACUUUAUAAUUGAUAUAAAAUCCCAAUUUAAACAACCUUGUCAAGCUCUGAAUUAUUUCAAAUUCUUUGGCUAGAGGGGAAGGAGAAAGGAGAGACACACAACAGAAUGGGGGUAGGGGUGUGGGGGAGAAAAAGCACAAGAUCCUCUCUCUGUGGCAAUCCUCACAGGUGCACAAGCAGACACAUUUUGAGAAACAUGAAAGAACAGCUAUUUGUCUACAGUGAAUUAAAAAAAAUAUAUACAAGUACUAGAUAUACCAUAAAAUUGGAAUGAAUACAAACUCUUUAUGUCUUUGAGAAUUGAAAAAUGAUGAUUUAGUUUUUUGUUUUAGCAUACCUGAAAACACCAGCUGAUAACUUCUCCAUCACAUCUUUUAAGAUACGUAAAUGGAAGGAUUGUUAAGGUUCAACUUAGCAGAGAGGGGUAAAGAAACCAUUCAAGAUGCUGGGCAGGACUCCUUUUUCUUUAUAUAUAGCUUUGCACUUUCAAAUUCAAAGUGGCACCACAGCUACUAAAACUGUCAGUCACUGCUAGAGCAACGGGAUGAUUAGCAGUAUCUGAGGUGUGACAGGAACACAAGCGCUGGAAGGCGAGUGGUAAGGACAGCCAGCCAGCCAGCCAGCCAGUCAGCACGGAGCUGGUCAGGGGUGCCAUGGUCUUCUUCACUUAAGCAUUAUGCACGCGGUAUAGUCAGCAUUUCAGCUCUCACAGGGAGUUAACAUUCAUCAGUUGAUCCGGUUGGUAACAGGUUCAACUUGUUUCCAUAAAUUCUUUUAUUUGUUUCAAAAAUGAGAAAAAAAAACAAGUUAAUAUGCAUCUAUUUGUGGCAGUUUUAAUGAAAAAUGUCCCCCACCGGUUCCUGAGUCUGAAGAAUCAGCCCCGGUUGGUGUUAGAGAAGUUAUGGAGCCUUUAGAAGGUGCAUCCUUGUUGGAGGAAGCGCUUCACCGGGGCAGGCUUUGAUGGUCUAUGGCCUGGCCUCAUCCCUGCUUACUGCUCGCUCUCUCUCCCUCUCUCUCACCUAUCUUGAUGACAAGGCUUCCCAGCCAUUAUGGAACUGUAGGCCCAACUGAACCCUUCCAUAAACUGCUUUUGGUCAUGGUGCUUGCCGUAGCAACAAAAAUGUAACUAACAUACUAUGUUACUAGCAAUCAAUAGUAUAUCCAUAUU
rnacentral:lncRNA from 1 species